rnacentral:rRNA from 1 species
ACUCAAAUGAAUAGACGGGGGCCCGCACAAGCAGCGGAGCGUGUGGUUUAAUUCGACGCAACGCGCAGAACCUUACCUUGCCUUGACAUGCUACUGCAAGCCCUAGAAACAGGGUCGCCUUCGAGGGUGUAGCACCGGUGCUGCAUGGCUGUCGUCAGCUCGUGUCGUGAGAUGUUGGGUUAAGUCCCGCAACGAGCGCAACCCUUGUCCUGUGUUACAAGUGUCACAGGAGACUGCCCUGGUCAACCAGGGAGGAAGGCGGGGAUGACGUCAAGUCCGCAUGGCCCGUACGGCAAGGGCGACACACACGCUACAAUGGCACUAAGAAUGCGUUGCUUCGUGGUAACACGUGGCGAAUCGCCAAAAAGUGUCUCAGUUCAGAUUGGGGGCUGCAACUCGCCCCCAUGAAGGCGGAGUUGCUAGUAAUCGCCGGUCAGCCAUACGGCGGUGAAUCUGUACCCGGGCCUUGUACACACCGCCCGU